rnacentral:rRNA from 1 species
UAGUCUGGGAAACUGCCUGAUGGAGGGGGGUAACUACUGGAAACGGUAGCUAAUACCGCAUAAUGUCGCAAGACCAAAGUGGGGGACCGUUCGGGCCUCAUGCCAUCAGAUGUGCCCAGAUGGGAUUAGCUAGUAGGUGGGGUAAUGGCUCACCUAGGCGACGAUCCCUAGCUGGUCUGAGAGGAUGACCAGCCACACUGGAACUGAGACACGGUCCAG